GGCCUCUCUCCUUGGCUUACAGAUGGCUGCCUUCUUGCUGUGUCCUCACAAGCGCACAUGCUUCUGGGGCUGAUUGCAACAUGAGAGGUUCAUUUCUUGAACUGGCUGUAUCCUUGCAACUUCACGACGCUAGAUAAGAAGUGGAUUUAUUUAGAGAGAAACACAGACAGAGUGUGGGCCAUCUCAGAAGAAAAUUAUGAACUCCCUCAAAUCUCAGAAAGAAAUGGUGUCCAUGAAUUAAAUGGUUCUUACAAUCAACAGCUGCUACAUAAUCUAUGGCAAAAUAGAAACUAACACGGCAUCUGAAAAGAUGAAAAAUAAUGAAAACCUAAGAAGCAGUGUUUUCCAGAUGCCCGUCAUGACCUGUCAAUUCGGGGAGUUGAAACAAUUAUAAGCAGCAUUAUAAAAGAAACAUAAGAGACAUUAUCGAAGUGUGUCACAAAUAGUAAGGGCCUCACUGUUGUGGCCUCUCCCGUUGCGGAGCACAGGCUCCGGAUGCGC